GAUGAACGCUAGCUACAGGCUUAACACAUGCAAGUCGAGGGACCGGCGCACGGGUGAGUAACACGUAUCCAACCUGCCCUUUACUCGGGGAUAGCCUUUCGAAAGAAAGAUUAAUACCCGAUAAUAAGGAUGGGGAUGCGUUCCAUUAGGUUGUUGGUGAGGUAACGGCCCACCAAGCCUUCGAUGGAUAGGGGUUCGGAGGGGAAGGUCCCCCACAUUGGAACUGCGACACGGUCCACACUCCUACGGGAGGGAGGAGUGAGGAAGAUUGGUCAAUGGGCGUGAGCCUGAACCAGCCAAGUAGCGUGAAGGAUGAAGGCUUAUUGGUCGUAAACUUCUGUUAUAUAAGAAUAUGUAUUAUAUGAAUAAGGAUCGGCUAACUCCGUGCCAGCAGCCGCGGUAAUAC
rnacentral:rRNA from 1 species